CAGCAGCUGCAGCGGGUGCACUAAUGAGGAGUCCCGCGCUCCCUGACUGACAACCCAUCCUUCUCCCUGUGUCCUUUCUCAGCGCCAGGCGCACGAGUGUUGUACAACAUAAAAGACAUAAAACAAAAUGACAAGGAAUUGUGGGUACAGUUCAUACACUAUGGAAAGACUUCUGAUCAGAUCCACCAUGCAGUACUAAGGAACACAAUGCUGCCAGAUCUACUGAAGAUCCUCAACAUGUCUGGGCUGUUCAGACAAAAACGCCUCUUGGGUUGCCCUAUCAAAUCUCUAUGGCCAAUGGUCUCAAUUACUAUGUAGC